UGGCCGUGAUGUGGACAGGAGUUUAGAAGAUCCUUAAAUCUCUCCCAACAUUAAAAGAAGGUCUCUUCCUCCUUUUGAGAGAAGUUCAUGAUCGCUUUCCUUAAUGU